rnacentral:rRNA from 1 species
UACGUAGGGUGCAAGCGUUGUCCGGAAUUAUUGGGCGUAAAGAGCUCGUAGGCGGUUUGUUGCGUCGGCUGUGAAAACCUGAGGCUCAACCUCAGGCCUGCAGUCGAUACGAGCAGACUAGAGUGUUGCAGGGGAGACUGGAAUUCCUGGUGUAGCGGUGAAUGCGCAGAUAUCAGGAGGAACACCGGUGGCGAAGGCGGGUCUCUGGGAAGUAACUGACGCUGAGAAGCGAAAGCGUGGGUAGCGAACAGG